GUUUCCGUGGUGUAGCGGUUAUCACGUCUGCUUUACAUGCAGAAGGUCCCCGGUUCGAUCCCGGGCGGGAACA
rnacentral:tRNA from 1 species